GAGGAAAAGAAACUAACAAGGAUUCCCUUAGUAACGGCGAGUGAACAGGGAUUAGCCCAGCACCGAAGCCUGUGGCCAUUUGGUUACUAGGCAAUGUGGUGUUUAGGUCGUUCNGCAGAGACACUGCUCCACUCCAAGUCCAGCAAUGAGUACGGUAGUACAGACUUGGCCNAUAGAGGGUGAAAGGCCCGUGGGGGUGGAGAUUCAGGCAGGUUAGUGUCUCUCUGGAUAGACCUUGGAG
rnacentral:rRNA from 1 species